GUGGACUAGUGCGCGUUUUUUGUUUUCAGAGCACACGUAAGGGUCCAGCCACAGCAGGCCCGGCGUCCCGGUGGAAGGCAGCCCUGGGCGGAACCCAGGCGUUUAACGGCUCACUAGGCAGCCCCAGAUCUGGGGAACAGAUGAGCACGUGGGGAGCUGGAGUGAGCUGAGCAGAAGUUUUGUGCCCGCCUGCCCCCAUCCCCUCCAGGCCACGUUUUAGAUGGCCCUUGUAGUUGCGGGUCCUGGGUGUCCUCAGAACUAGACAUCAAUGCCUGGAUCCUUCAGCCGGCCCUGCCCUCCUUUAGGAGACAGGAGUCACCAGGGCACAGCCCUCCAGGCCCGCCUCAGGAAGGAAUGAAAGGAAUGCCAUCAUCUCUAGUUCCCAGGGCCCAGCCUUCCCCUUCUCCCCCGGGGCAGGGACAGUGCGGCAUAUUCAGAUUCAGACCUCUUUGGGCUGAGCCACCUUGUGAGUGCAGUUACUGCCUUUGUGUGGCCGUGACCUCUAUUUGUUUGCUUUUAAUUUGCCAACCUAUCGCUGCUGGCAGCACUUUUUGAGCAAGCCGAGAGCACCCAUUUUGGCUGGGGGUUCAGAUCGAUGGCCUUGUCCAUGUUGUCCUUUCUGGCUUCCCUGAUGGUGUCAUGUUUCAGCGCAUGCGCCCCAGCCUUUCCCAUGUGCCAAACCAGAAGCUCCACUGCCCGUAGGCUGUCCCUGUAGCCCUGCUCCCUCCCUGGAGGCUGCUCUUCUGAUUCUGAGAGCUGGCCUAGUGGUGCUGAGGGCCCCUUUCUGCUUCUCUGCCCACCUGCUGAGUUGCCACUCGCAGUGUUGUCAGUUCCCGUGUUCUGAGAAGAGGUCAUGCCUGGGAGGAAGGGAUCGUCAUGCUGCAUCGAAUCCUCUCUCCGCCGUGUGGCCCCCAGGAGAGUAGCUGCCUGUUGCACCUGCUCCACACCUCCCCACAGCCUCCCUGCAGGUGCUGUGUGGCCGUGAUGUGCAGAGAGCAGUGAGGGAGGGUUCAUGAACCAGGUGGAUCCUCUUUAAAAAAAAAAAAGUUUUU
rnacentral:lncRNA from 1 species